rnacentral:rRNA from 1 species
AGAGUUUGAUCAUGGCUCAGGAUGAACGCUAGCGGCAGGCCUAACACAUGCAAGUCGAGGGGUAACAGGGUGCUUGCACCGCUGACGACCGGCGCACGGGUGCGUAACGCGUAUACAACCUACCUUUUGGAGGGGAAUAGCCCAGGGAAACUUGGAUUAAUGCCCCAUAGUAUGAGAGAAUCUCCUGAUUUUUUCAUUAAACAUUUAUGGCCAUUAGAUGGGUAUGCGUCCUAUUAGUUUGUUGGUAAGGUAACGGCUUACCAAGACUACGAUAGGUAGGGGUCCUGAGAGGGAGAUCCCCCACACUGGUACUGAGACACGGACCAGACUCCUACGGGAGGCAGCAGUGAGGAAUAUUGGACAAUGGGCGAGAGCCUGAUCCAGCCAUGCCGCGUGCAGGAAGACUGCCCUAUGGGUUGUAAACUGCUUUUAUACGGGAAGAACCGCCACUACGUGUAGUGGUUUGACGGUACCGUAAGAAUAAGGAUCGGCUAACUCCGUGCCAGCAGCCGCGGUAAUACGGAGGAUCCAAGCGUUAUCCGGAAUCAUUGGGUUUAAAGGGUCCGUAGGCGGAUAAAUAAGUCAGUGGUGAAAGUCUGCAGCUUAACUGUAGAAUUGCCAUUGAUACUGUUUAUCUUGAGUUAUUAUGAAGUGGUUAGAAUGUGUAGUGUAGCGGUGAAAUGCAUAGAUAUUACACAGAAUACCGAUUGCGAAGGCAGAUCACUAAUAAUACACUGACGCUGAUGGACGAAAGCGUAGGUAGCGAACAGGAUUAGAUACCCUGGUAGUCUACGCCGUAAACGAUGGUUACUAGCUGUUCGGCCCGAUUAAGGGCUGAGUGGUUAAGCGAAAGUGAUAAGUAACCCACCUGGGGAGUACGUUCGCAAGAAUGGAACUCAAAGGAAUUGACGGGGGCCCGCACAAGCGGUGGAGCAUGUGGU